rnacentral:lncRNA from 1 species
UAUAUAUUGAAAACAAUCCUUUUAUUUUUAUUUAUUUUUUAAAGUGGUUUUUUAUUUGUUCUAAUUAGUUAUACAUGACAGAAGAAUGCAUUUUCACACAUCAUACAAAAAGGGGUAUAACUUCUCAUUUGUCUGGUUGUACAUGUUGAAGAGUUACAAAGAUAAUAUAAUCAUAUAUGCACAUAGUAUAAUAAUGCCCAAUUCAUUCUACUACCUUUCUUACCCCUAAGCCCCCUCCCCUCCCUUCACUCCUCUUUGUCUAGUCCAAAAUACUUCUGUUCUCCCCACCUACAUUGUAAAUUAGCAUCUGCAUAUGAGAGAAAACAUUCAGUCUUUUGUUUUGGGGGAUUGGCUUAUUUCACUUAGCAUGAUAGUCUCCAGUUCUAUCCAUUUACAGGCAAGUGCCAUAAUUUCAUUCUUAUUUAAGUAAUAUUCCAUUGUGCAUAUAUACCACAGUUUAUGUAUCCAUUCAUCUGUUCAAGGCCACUUAGGUUGGUUCCAUAGUUUGGCUAUUGUGAAUUGAGCUGCUAUGAACAUUGAUGUGGCUGUGUCACUAUAAUAUGCUGAUUUUAAGACCUUUGGGUAUAAAUCUAGGAGUGGGACAGCUGGGUCAAAUGCUGGUUUCAUUCCAAGUUUUCUGAAGAAUCGCCAUACUGCUUUCCGUACUGGUUGCAACAAUUUGGAGUCCCACCAGCAAUGUAUGAGUGUACCUUUUUACCCACAUCCUUACCAACAUUUAUUGUUGCUUGUAUUCUUGAUAAUUGCCAUUCUGAAUGGAGUGUGAUAGAAUCUCAGUAUAAACAAUCCUUUUAGAUGAUGGAAUACAUUUUAGUUUGCAGUUCCCAUUGAAUGUUUAAAAAAAUAACUGAGCACCUGCACUUAUGUUAAUAGUCAAAAAAUUAUUUCUAUGAAGGAAAAGAGAAGUCACAAAAUUUAACAUAAAUUCAAUCAAACAUCUGAAAAGCAAAUAUGUAAUAGGAAGGAUUAAAGGACAAAAGUAUUGUGGAGCAAGGCCUGGAUUUCCUCGUCUAGAAGAGGGAAAGAGCUGAGAUUUUCCAGAGUUUCCAUUUAGGCUUUCUGCUCAGGGAAUGGCAUCACUUUUACACAUCAAACUCCAGCAAAAGAGGAGAAGAAAUUCAAUGUCAGCAAAAUUGAGUUCUACCAAACACAAUGAACUGUGUGUGGCUUUAAUAACUCACCUAUAGUCUGUGAUGACAUGUAAUCAUGAUUGAUGGUGAUGUUCAGGGAGCCCCAGUCUUAAAAGCUAAGAUUAUAUAAGGCAAGAGUAAGAGAUUAUUAUAUGUAAACAUAAGGAUAUUUAUAAAUUCAACCUUUAGAAUAUUAAUAAAAAUAUUAAAUUAUAUUUGUGUACUGAGCAA